rnacentral:rRNA from 1 species
GAUGAACGCUGGCGGCGUGCCUAACACAUGCAAGUCGAGCGAUUUACUUCGGUAAAGAGCGGCGGACGGGUGAGUAACGCGUGGGUAACCUGCCCUGUACACACGGAUAACAUACCGAAAGGUAUGCUAAUACGAGAUAAUAUGCUUUUAUCGCAUGGUAGAAGUAUCAAAGCUUUUGCGGUACAGGAUGGACCCGCGUCUGAUUAGCUAGUUGGUGAGGUAACGGCUCACCAAGGCGACGAUCAGUAGCCGACCUGAGAGGGUGAUCGGCCACAUUGGAACUGAGACACGGUCCAAACUCCUACGGGAGGCAGCAGUGGGGAAUAUUGCACAAUGGGCGAAAGCCUGAUGCAGCAACGCCGCGUGAGCGAUGAAGGCCUUCGGGUCGUAAAGCUCUGUCCUCAGGGAAGAUAAUGACGGUACUUGAGGAGGAAGCCCCGGCUAACUACGUG